UUGAUGAAAUAAAGCAAAAACUGAUUCAAUGUGUCAAUGGGGCCAGGCAAACACCAAUGGACACAAUCAUUUACACAGGUGCAUUCGUAUGCAUCGA